UACGUAGGGUGCGAGCGUUAAUCGGAAUUACUGGGCGUAAAGCGUGCGCAGGCGGUGAUGUAAGACCGAUGUGAAAUCCCCGGGCUUAACCUGGGAACUGCAUUGGUGACUGCAUUGCUGGAGUAUGGCAGAGGGGGGUGGAAUUCCACGUGUAGCAGUGAAAUGCGUAGAGAUGCGGAGGAACACCGAUGGCGAAGGCAGCCCCCUGGGCUAACACUGACGCUCAGGCACGAAAGCGUGGGGAGCAAACAGG
rnacentral:rRNA from 1 species